GGGCCCGCACAAGCGGUGGAGCAUGUGGUUUAAUUCGAUGAUACGCGAGGAACCUUACCAGGGCUUAAAUGUAAGUUGCAUAAGUUAGAGAUAGCUUUUUCUUCGGACUACUUACAAGGUGCUGCAUGGUUGUCGUCAGCUCGUGCCGUGAGGUGUCAGGUUAAGUCCUAUAACGAGCGCAACCCCUAUUCUUAGUUGCCAGCGGUUCGGCCGGGGACUCUAAGAAGACUGCCAGCGCAAGCUGAGAGGAAGGUGGGGAUGACGUCAAAUCAUCACGGCCCUUACGUCCUGGGCUACACACGUGCUACAAUGGUAGAGACAGAGGGCAGCCACCUGGUGACAGGGAGCGAAUCCCAAAAAGUGCGUCGUAGUCCGGAUCGGAGUCUGCAACUCGACUCCGUGAAGUCGGAAUCGCUAGUAAUCG
rnacentral:rRNA from 1 species